GAUGAACGCUGGCGGCGUGCCUAAUACAUGCAAGUCGAGCGAACAGACGAGGAGCUUGCUCCUCUGACGUUAGCGGCGGACGGGUGAGUAACACGUGGAUAACCUACCUAUAAGACUGGGAUAACUUCGGGAAACCGGAGCUAAUACCGGAUAAUAUAUUGAACCGCAUGGUUCAAUAGUGAAAGACGGUUUUGCUGUCACUUAUAGAUGGAUCCGCGCCGCAUUAGCUAGUUGGUAAGGUAACGGCUUACCAAGGCAACGAUGCGUAGCCGACCUGAGAGAGUGAUCGGCCACACUGGAACUGAGACACGGUCCAGAGUCCUACGGGAGGCAGCAGUAGGGAAUCUUCCGCAAUGGGCGAAAGCCUGACGGAGCAACGCCGCGUGAGUGAUGAAGGUCUUCGGAGCGGAAAACUCUGUUAUUAGGGAAGAACAAAUGUGUAAGUAACUAUGCACGUCUUGACGGUACCUAAUCAGAAAGCCACGGCUAACUACGUG
rnacentral:rRNA from 1 species